rnacentral:rRNA from 1 species
AUUGGGCGUAAAGAGCUCGUAGGCGGCUUGUCGCGUCGGAUGUGAAAGCCCGGGGCUUAACCCCGGGUCUGCAUUCGAUACGGGCAGGCUAGAGUUCGGCAGGGGAGAUUGGAAUUCCUGGUGUAGCGGUGAAAUGCGCAGAUAUCAGGAGGAACACCGGUGGCGAAGGCGGAUCUCUGGGCCGAUACUGACGCUGAGGAGCGAAAGCGUGGGGAGCGAACAGGAUUAGAUACCCUGGUAGUCCACGCCGUAAACGUUGGGCACUAGGUGUGGGCGGCAUUCCACGUCGUCCGUGCCGCAGCUAACGCAUUAAGUGCCCCGCCUGGGGAGUACGGCCGCAAGG